GAUAUUUCCAAAAACUAAUUUUUAAAAAAUUACUUUUAUUCUUUAAUUACACAUAAAUAAUUUAAACUGAAAAGGAAAAAUAAACUUUUUCAAAGAAUUAUAAUAUUCCUUUAGUAUCAGGAUCUAUUAAUUCAAAUAAAAAUUUUUUAAUUCCCGAAAUUUUAAGAUCUAUUUAAUAUUAUAAAUUCAUUAUAUGAAUAAUUAUAAUAUUCAAUCGAAAUUAGACGUUAUUCGAUUAAAAUAAUAUCUGGUAUUUUAUAAAAAAAUAUAUUAAAAAUAAUUUUUGUAAAACAAAUUACAAAUAAAAUUUAAAAAACAUACUUACAAAUAUAGAAAUUAUAAUAUUCAAAUAGUUUAAUAACUUAACUAAACAAAUUAAAUUAAACUAUACUAUUAAAAUAUCAUUUUAAUAAUAUAAAAAUAAUAAAAUAAGUAAAUUAUUUAAAUAAAUUACAAUAACUCAUAUAUUUAAUGACUGUUUAACAAAAACAUUUCUAUUAAUCAUAAUUAAUAGUAAAAUCUGCUCAAUGAAAUAUUUGAAUAGCCGCAAUUGUGCUAAGGUAGCAUAAUCAUUUGUCUUUUAAUUAAAGACUAGAACAAAAGAUUUAACACUUAAAAUUAUUUCUUUAAUUUAAAUAUUAAAAUUAUCUUAAAAGUAAAAAGCCUUUUAUAUAACAGAAAGACGAUAAGACCCUAUUGAAUUUUACUUUAGUUUAACUGGGGCAGUUAAUUAAUUAAUAUUUUAAUAAAAAUACUUAUAAAACUGAUCUAAUAAAAUUAAUUAAAUGACCAAAUUACCGUAGGGAUAACAGCGUAAUAAAAUUUAAAAGAUCUUAUUUAAAAAAAUGAUUGCGACCUCGAUGUUGAUUUAAUAUUCUUAUCUGCGCAAUAGUGGAUAAAGAAAGUCUGUUCGACUCUUAAAAAAUUACAUGAUUUGAGUUCAGACCGGUGUAAACCAGGUCGGUUUCUAUCUUCUUAUUAUUUCUUCUAGUACGAAAGGACCUAAGAAAAUGAUUUAAUC
rnacentral:rRNA from 1 species